ensembl:snoRNA
AUCCUCUUAUGAUUCAUAAACAUGCUGAUAAGGUGUUCAGGCCAUUGUGUGUGAUGUGUCUCCCUGGAAACUUGUUACAAAGUUGACACCUUACCUGGCAUAGG